CUGAUGGUUCUGUGUCUCUGGAGAUCCCCUACUAAUACAAUUUAAGCCAAUUUCAUGUUUCGUACGGAGGUAUGUACCCAAGCUUUCAACGUGAUAAAUGGAAGGUAAAAAGAUUAGUGCCCCUUAGCAACCCUGCUCAAUCAGUUUUCAAGGCUUUUGUCAUCCUAAGGAGAUGUUCAUGGUUAGUGGUAAUUGCUAACUGGAUAAAUCUUGGAGUUCCUUAAACACGGUACCCUGAGCAUGCCUGUGGUUGAUUACCUUGGUUGUAUUAACUGAGAUGGGAAAAACCAUCUUAACUGUGGGCAGCAGAUCCUGAACAGUAGAAACUGAAGAAGAAGCAAAGCACUCCCAUGCCUUGCCCCUCUCUGCCUUCUGAUUGUGGAUGUGGGUGACCAGCUGCUUCAAGCUCCUGCUGCCUUGAUGUAUCUGACCAUCAUGAAGGACCUUGAACUGUGAGCCCAGACAGCAGACAAACAGACAAACAAACAAACAAAUAAAACACUUUCUCUACCAUGUUGCCUUUCAUCACAGAAACUACGACAGAGGUCAAAAACCUCAACUUGAAAGAGUAAACUUGAAGGCAAUAGGAGACAUCUGGGAAACCAUGACUGAAGUGGAGGUGUGUAUUUACCAUAAAUUGGUACCAUGGUUACGUUUGUGAUCUCAGUCUCCUCAAAUCUCUGAGCUAUAUGAAUCAGGAGAACUUAGUGAACUAUGGAUGCAAAGGGCUGCCUGCUGCAUACUGAAUACUGAGUUAAUCACUGGGACAGAUAUUAGCAUUUACCACACAACAAUCAGGAAGUCAAAUUUAAUUGUAACCACAAGUGCGGUGCUGGGCGCUGUUUUCAGUAGGGGUGAUAAGGUGCAAGUUCGGCAGCCAUAGUGAGGAUCAUACAGAAUCUAUAUGUACAAGAUACAUUUCAAAUGGACAAAUCUCAGUGCUUAAAUACCAAUGCAUUUCUUAUUCAUCUACCAAAACAAUGGUGAUGACGAUGACAAUGAUGAUGACAACAGAAGAUACUCAGAUGAAAUUAAAGAGACUCUAUUGAGAAAGGAAAGAAAACGGUACCCAGAAUCAACAAAUACCCUCUUCUCAGCAAGAGCUCAAGACUCCUUGCCAGGGUGUUAUAAUCGUGGUAUAGAACAGGCAUGUCCACAUUUCCUAUGAUUCAGUCCUGCCACGCUACUGUUCUUCACAAAAUUAGACCACACUUAAGAAGAGGAAACCAU
rnacentral:lncRNA from 1 species